rnacentral:rRNA from 1 species
CUACGGGAUGCACCAGUGAGGAAUAUUGCGCAAUGGACGAAAGUCUGACGCAGCCAUGCCGCGUGCAGGAUGACGGCCCUAUGGGUUGUAAACUGCUUUUGUAUGGGAAUAAACCCUUCUACGUGUAGAAGGCUGAAGGUACCAUAAGAAUAAGCACCGGCUAACUCCGUGCCAGCAGCCGCGGUAAUACGGAGGGUGCAAGCGUUAUCCGGAUUUAUUGGGUUUAAAGGGUCCGUAGGCGGGCCGAUAAGUCAGUGGUGAAAGCCCAUAGCUCAACUAUGGAACUGCCAUUGAUACUGUCGGUCUUGAGUAUAUGUGAUGUUGGCGGAAUGUGUAGUGUAGCGGUGAAAUGCUUAGAUAUUACACAGAACACCGAUUGCGAAGGCAGCUGACCAAUAUAUAACUGACGCUGAGGGACGAAAGUGUGGGGAUCAAACAGGAUUAGAUACCCUCGUAGUC